rnacentral:lncRNA from 1 species
GACUGCUCCUGCAGCUCUUGAAAGCAGAUCAGCUGUUAAAUGGAGCACCUUGUGCCCCAAAACCUCCUGCUUCAGCUGUACCCAGGAGAGCAGAGGGAAGGCGGAGCCUGAGGUUCACUGUCACGUGAAGGAACAGCUGUCUUCAGAGACACGGGGAGAGAGCUGGUCUCCCAGGAGUGUGGACACGCCUGUGAGCACAG